rnacentral:lncRNA from 1 species
AAAAGGCAGUAAACAUCACCAACAAUGUAUCCCGAGCAUACAUUCUGUGACGCACUAACAAAAGCAAUCACUAUAAAUCACGUUGGUCAAGGACGUGAUUCCGCGACGCCGCGCCCCUGAGCGGGCGGCGGCAACGGCCCGCGGAGUCCCUUUUCCAGGCAAACCCGCCACCGCGUGGACCCGAGCGGAACCGCACCGCCGGCCGGGAACGCCCACGCCGGGAGCCUGUCACCGCGACCGCGGACCCGCGAGCCAGACCCCAAAGGGGAAAGGGGAAGGGAAAGCAAAAGAGACAGGAUGGCCAAGAUUUCUCGCUUUGGUGCUGUAUCCUUUCUGUCCGUGAUUAACAGACAAAGGAGGCGCCUUAGACGGCUACCUGUCUCCCUCUGAGCAGCUGAGGGGCCCACGCAGUGGCGGUCAGGACAGAGCCCGGGGAGUCCUGAGCAACCAUGCCCCCCCACCCCCGCCCCCACGCCCAGAGGAAGCUGUUCUCCGAGGAACCUUGACCUCCAGGCCAGAUGGAGACCGCAGCGAGGUGCACCAGUGCACCAGUGCUGAAGCCUUCACAGACGGCAACAGAAACCUGGAGACGCUUCUCCCCCCACAUGCACUCCCCUUAGGCUUGGGGGGAGGGAGAUUGUUCUUUUAAUUUUCAACAUUAUUGUUUUUUAAUUUCAAACCUACAAAAACAUUAAAAGAAUAAAGCAAAGAAACCA